rnacentral:tRNA from 1 species
UUAAUUGAAACCAAAAUUAGAGGUAUGUUACUGUUAAUAACAUUAUUGGAUAUAAAACCCAAUUAAA